UCCCCCGACCUCCGUCCGGGAUACUUGCAAAUACACGCACGGAACUUUCUCGCCAGGGACAUACAGAAAUACAUUUUUCCCUUUCAAGAAAAAUAGAGGGAAAUGAAGAAAAAGCAGCAUUAAACGAUUUCUAAAGGCCUUAAAAGAAAAUCCUUUUAGAGGCACCUUGGCCUCGAGCUGCAACAGAUACUGGGAGGUCCGAGCUGAAUUCCCAGGCUUGCAGGAAUAAUGACAGGGUGGUGGAUACUGCGGUAGAAAGUGCCAGACUUUUCUCCCUCUCUCUUUUUAACUAAAGAGGAGACAUAGUUCCUUGCAAGAAAACCACUCCGUCCAGUUAGAAAAAUACAAUGAAAAUUUAACACUUAAGGGAUUUAAAGCCUCGCGGAAGCUAGCUGUUUCAGCUUUAGGGCUCAUUCUUUAACUGAAACCUGAGGAAAGCCAGUUCUAAUGUUUUUAGUGUAAAAGUCCAUGAAACGCAGCCUGCCUGGCCGCGCUAAACAUUUCUUGAACUACACGCGAUUGUUUACUUUUUUGGCACCGCUUCUCCGCGUCUCUCUUCAUUGAGAAUCAGCCAUUAAUUGCUGCCUCUAGAGCUGCGCGCGUCCCCCCAGCCCCGGGCUCGGCCCCGGUCCGCAGCGCAGCUCCCCGCGGAGGCAGCUGCGGGCCGCGGCGGACACCCGUGCGCAGCGGCGCGGGGGGCAGCGGACAGCCCUCCCCUCCGCCCCCGGCCCAGGCCGGGGAGGCGCUCUGGGCGGCUGCCCUCCUGCAGGACGGCUUCUGUACGCCUGCGGAGGAGCGCGGCUGCAGUGUUUGGGAGCUGGAUGGGGCGUGGGAUAAAUGCAGCGAAGAAGAGAGGGGCAUGGGGACCCGAGGUGAGAAGAGCACCCCGUGCAGCCCCGUUCGGUGUGGUGCCCGGCUCGACAAACCUGCCAGCACUGCGCAACUCUCCUUUCAGCCCAGCCGUGCAUGUACCUGGGGCAGUGGUCCUGAGCAAAAGCCCUGAGACUCUGGUCACUACAAGGGUCCUCCUCCCCUUGGCGGGCUGGAGACCUCCCUUAGCGGGGCCGUCCCGGCGCCGGCAAUGCGGGCUGGCAGCCGCCGGCGGGAGCGAGGUGCGCACCGCACCGCGCCUCACCUCACGGCACGGCACCGCUCUCUCCGUGAGACAGCCUAAAGGCACCAACGGUCAGGGCCUUUCAAGGGCCAUACCCGCUGGCUAUGGGGUCUUUUAUUUCUUUGAUUUAAUCCCAACUCAAUUUUUUCUCACCCUGGAAACUUGUCUCCUUGAAGGCCCUGCCCCGUACUCUGCACAGGACUGUCUCCAGGAAAGCUGCUAGGAGAAGCAAGCUGUUGUGCAGGCAGACGUAGGUGCAUAAGUAUGGGAGAAAAGAAACCUGAAGCGGUUGCAGCUGGAGGCUGUUUUCUGUUUGAGGCUGAAACCUGCACCUGGGAUGUAGUCGGCCACCUCCAAUUCAAGUUUCCACUUGGGAAAGUGACCAUCCAUCUAGCUAGAAAGCGAUGUGACACUACUUCUGCAAGUGUUCAGUCUCAUUGUGUAGCAGGGCAGGGGAAUGGAGAAGGGACAGGCAUAGAACCAUUUUGGUUCAGCCUCUUAGUAAGCUUCAAAACCCGGGAAGAGUGUCCCUUCAAGCACCUGGAAUCCCCAGCACUGUCCUAUGUGCUUCCUGCUAGCCGUCACACAGUAGCCUAAACCCCAUUCUCACUGCUGGUUCCAAAACUCUAUCUGAAGACGCAAAUUUAACAAGCAUUGUCUUAAUCUCCCCUCUCUCCCUGUGGUCUGAAAGGAUUUUUUUUUUUUUUUCCAAGCAUACACAAGAGAUUAAUUACUGCAGAGAUCUAAUUGGUCUUGUUUCUGUGAUGGGUGUGUGUAUGUAUGUUGGGGGUUUUUUCCCCUCAAGGAAGAAAUGUCAGUGUAAAAGUCUCCACUUGGGUGGUCAGAGCAGUGGCUACCCCCAAUCUGCCUCAUAGUUGAUGCCUGCUUGCUACAUGCCUGGCAAUAAUGUUGUUCCUAAUCAAUCUGCCCUUAUUUACAUUUGUAAGCACUGCUGACUGUGAUAUACAUGCCCUGAGUGUGCAAUGCUCCUCCACACCAAGGGCUAUUUCCAUCUUCAGCAACUUGAAGGGAUAUCCCAGAUUUCUUAUAAUCUAGGACGUGCUUUAUGGUGAAGACCUGGGAAGCUGUCUCCUUAUGUACACAGGCUACAGUCUACUAGCAUUCGUACCUGUUUCCUUCCAAUGCCUAGACAGGCCAGGCUGGUAUACAGGAAUUUCAGCCUUGACUUUAGCUGUAGUGGCUUAAUUUUGUAAUGCUCUGCCUCUUAUUUACAUUCUCUUUGUGUUCAUAACCCCCGAUACUGCAGAGCUUCACACUUCCUCCAACCAGGUUGCUCUUCACCUGCAGACACCUAUCAAAAGCAUUUGCACUGCUGGAGCAUCUGAUUACCCUAAUAAAGACAAGACAGAAAUGAAAAGCAGGCACUUUGGGUUCCUUUUGUAUGGUUUUCAAGAGAGCUGAUCAUGGGAGAAGACCGACUUGUGGGAAAAUAAUCACAUUUUUUCUAUUCCCUCAAAUUUUUGUCUCUCACACGUUUGCAUCGCACAAGUGCACAGGUCUGCUUCGGCCCUGUGCUUCUGCCCGCACACCUGAUUCUGGCGUUGACAUGAGACCACAGUCACUGGGUUUUGCAGGGCAGCCUGAGCCUCCCUCUCCUUUUCCGCUCGCAGUGCCGUGUUGGCCACCGGGCCGGCGGGGGCUGCCGUCGGGGGGCGGCGGCGCGCAGCGGGAGCCGCUCCGCAGGGCAGCGCCGCCGCCCAGCGCCCGCGCCUGGGGAAGGAGGCGGGCGGCCUCUCCCCCUCCUCAGCCCUUGAAGAAAGGGAACUGCUCGAGCCAACUUGUCAAAAUAAUGCGGCUAAUUACCCCUGAUCUCCUUUAAUGGAAAGCUGCUCUGCACGCCACAAAGGAGCAAAUGAGGGAUCUACAGCACCAGCCCAGGAGCGCUGGCAUUUUCUUCUGCGGAGGGCUGCGGGGAAAUGUGCCUCCAGAGGAGUCUCCGAAGCUUCUGGGCUCCUCCCGCGCAACGGCGGACGCCAGAGGAGAGGACAAGAGCGCGCGGGAAGCUGCGGAAGACAGUGGAUGGAGCAACAGCCCGCUCGUCCAAAACCACGAGAACAUUCCAGCCCUAGCAGACCUUGUCAUUUUCCACGAGGGUCUUUACCUCUAGAAACCCAAGUAGUCUUCAAAUCAGAUUCUUUUCCUGGCAAAAUGCCCUGCCACUUGCAGGACAUUAAUGCGCAUUGAGAGAGGAAAGUUACACUGAAUCUUUUUUAGCCAGCCUGGACAACAUCGGGUCUGUGUAAAGAUACAGCUCAAGUUUUGCAUGUGCCAAAGGCCGGGCAUUCACUUCCAUGAUCUCUGCCAUCGGGCCUUGCAGAUAAAAAAGCUGAGUGACACAAUCUCUUUGACCCACUGCUGGAGCAACAAAUUUAUUAGAAAUAUAGGCGUGAGAAAUGAAAAGGAAGUAAAACAA